CCCAGCCCUCGGAGCUCCGCCCGAGAAGCCUCGCAGUCAGCGCCUCUCCUUUACUCUCGGUUCCUGGUAUACAAAAAAUUUGACUUGAGCCUAUAUUUCCUCAGUCCUGGAACCUUUAGAGUGGGCCUCACUUUCCUGCAUGCUUCUCUCAGUUCAUACCAAAUGAUAUCACAUCUGCUGAUCCCAACCUAUCAAUGCAACAAGUAUCACCUCAGCAUGCUUCACUUUAGACUGUGUCCAGAGACAUCAGGCAUGGAAUAUUAACCCUUCAGCCUCAUUACUUGGCCCAGGUUCCAGAUGCUAGUUAGCAUGAAGCCAACCAGACUCCCCUGGACAGACAACCCCACCAAUGUGUCCUAGAGCUCCGAUUCGCCAGAACCCCACCCCACUAGGGAAAGAGAGAGGCAGGCUGGAAGUAUGGAUCGACCUAUCAACACCCAUGUUUUGCAGGGAAGCAGUUACAGAAGCCAGACCAUCAAAAGGCAAGUCUUCAUUAGGCCCUUGAUAAACAAGGCUGCCGGAAGAAAAAGCAUGGGAAAGGACCCCAUGGCCUUUGAUUGAACCUGCAGCUUCCCCAGUUAUGUCUGCAAACAUUAACAGAACAUUUUUACCUGGCCCUGGCUUUGCUAGCUGCUGAAUAAACCCAAACAUA